rnacentral:rRNA from 1 species
UACGGGGGGGGCAAGCGUUGUUCGGAAUUACUGGGCGUAAAGGGUUUGUAGGUGGCUUGCUAAGUCAGACGUGAAAUCCCUCAGCUUAACUGGGGAACUGCGUCUGAGACUGGUGAGCUUGAGUGCAGGAGAGGAACGCGGAAUUCCAGGUGUAGCGGUGAAAUGCGUAGAUAUCUGGAGGAACACCGGUGGCGAAGGCGGCAUCCUGGACCGGCAUUGACGCUGAGGCGCGAAAGCCAGGGGAGCAAACGGG